GUUUGUGCAGGAAUAGAAACCCUGACUAAGACAGUGGUCAAGUCUGAAUCCUGCCUUCCAGUCCCUUCUCCUAUUCUUAGGCCUCCCUCAGGUUACAGAACAUCUGAACUGGGUUUCCUUUUUUAGUAUUCCCAGAUACUAUCCCACUGUGCUCUGUGCUUACUCCCCUACCAUGUGUCUCUAAGCCCAUUCACUCUAUUUCCUGCACUGGUACAGACUGCCUGGGUCUGAGCCCUCAAAACCAUUUCUCAGGAUUCUAGUAAUCUUGUAAUCUUGCAUCAAAUUUUUUUCAGCAGAUACAGUGCCAUGUGGACCAUGCUGCCACAUACUUCUGACAGGUUUCUUCCUUGAUUCCUGAUCUGUGCUUUGUGAGUAAUUGACAAUGAAGAUCCUGCCCAUCUUUCUAUGGUGAGUUUGGCCAGAAUUAAGUCCAAUUGUGCUUUUCCCAAUAUGUAGAGACAGACAUCUUGGCCAUUAUCUCUUAUUGGUGAGAUCUCCAGAAGAUCCCCUUCCAGUACCUGUGUCACUAUACCAGGAUAGUUCUGGAAAUACAAAUCCUAUACUUUAUCUGUUGAAUUUCUGGAGAAUCAACAUACCCAUUCAUCCCCACCCAUGAAGGACUAAUUCUAAAUGCAGAUUUCUCUCAUCAUCUCUGCCUGUAUAGCUUUUCUGAAUCCCUCCUAUCCACACCAUGCACAAAGCCUGAGGCCUGUCUAUCAUACAGCUUCUGCAUCCAUCUUACUCAUUUUGUUAUCUAGCCACAGUUUCAUUUCCCAUGUCUACAUUCUAACUAUUUCUGAUCAACAUGGAAUGUGCCAGGUAUACAUGAUAUGAUGUAUAUAACUUUCCCUUCCAGUGUUCUUCUUAGCCUACCAUGUUUGUCUCUAGGCACCCAGCUCUGUACCCAUGUUCCAGCAAAAUUCCCCCAGUAUUAAGGCCCUAAAGUUAGUGUUCUCUGUAGGAGGACUAGCUCAGUAUGUGCAGAUUACACAUGGGUGUCCUGUAUAGGCAAGUCUGAACCUUGGCCUUCAGUAUGAUCACCUAUUUGUAGGCUUCCUCCAGGUCACAUAGAACCUGCACUGGUGUUCCCUGUUUUUCAUUCUCAAAUACAAGACUAAUUCUGCUGUGUGCACUCACCCAGACAUGCUACGCUAGACCCAUUUGUUGACUUUCCAGUUCUUACAAAGAUUGCCUGGCUUUGAGCCUCUCAGACAGUUUGCUAGGAAUCUAUCAAGUCUUUCAUUUUGCAACAUUUUUCUUUAUUUUCAUUACCUUAUCGACGAUGCUGCCCCAUUCUUCUGUCUUGUGUGAUAAAGUAUCACCAAUACUGUUUCUGUUAACACAAUGUAGACUCAUAUAAGCCAAAGGAACCUCAAUUGAGAACACUCUUACAUGAAAUGGACUGUAUAACUGCCUGUUGGGAGCUCUACUGAGUAAUGAUAAGUAUGGUAUUGUGGGGAACUCUAUGGGUGUUUCUCAACUUUUGGAGGUGGUUUGGGUUGUACACUAAGGCAAGUGGAGUUACCCAGGGAGUACAAUGUACUAUGUAGAAAUCCUUAGAGGUAUCUCUUUCAGUUCUUGCCUCUAGAAUUCUUCCUUGUUUCCUGACCCCUGUUCUCUCAGAGGUGGUAAGUAGAGCUCCUUCCCUGCUUACUAUGGUAAGUUUUUUGACAAUGAAGCCCAACUGUGCUAUUCUAAAUAAGCUCCUCUUCUAGUACCUUUGCCAAUGUGCCAGGAUAAUUCUAGUCACAGAGAUGUGCAAUAACUCUGUUGAAUUCCUGGAGAACCAAGGUACUCAUUCUACCACCACACUCUAAGGACUAAGUCUGGGUACAGUUUUCACUCAGCAUCUUCUUCUUAAUAGCUUCUUUGCAUCUCUCCUGUCCAUAACAUCCCAUGUUUGCAGGAAAACAUCUACAAAUAAUAUUUUCGAGUUUCCUGCACAACAUAUCAUGCUUGGCUCCAAGCACUAGGCUCUGUACCACAUUUCCUGGUGAGUUUGCUCUAAUAGUGAGUCCACAAACAUAGUCACAAUGGGAGGAGGCCUACCUAUGUAUAUCCAGAAUUCAUGUCAUUGUCCUUGGUAAGUCUGAAUCUUGCCCUCAAGUCCCUUCUCUUAUUCUUAGGCCUCCCUCAGGCUACAGAGCAUCUGGACUGGGCUUCUUUGUUUGGUAUUCCAAAUACUAGCCUAUUGUGCUCUGUGCUUACACCCAAACUAUGCUUGUCUAGACCCAUUUAAUUUAUUUCCAGCACUGACACAGAUUGCCUGGGUUUGAGUCUUCAAAACUGUUUUUUUUUUUCAGGAUUUGAUUAAUCUUGUAAUAUUGCAUCAUUUUUUUCAGCAGAUUCAGUGCCAUGUGGACCAUGCUGCCACAUACUUCUCCCAAGUGUGCUAGUGCCUGACAAUGAUGGAUUGUGUUAUGUUAUCUUGACAUGUUUUAGAGUCAUCUGAGAAGAAUGAACCUCAGUUAAGAACAUUACUCCAGGAAAUGGUAUAUAGAACAUCCUGUUGAGAGCUCCCUUGUGUACUGACUCUUAUGAUAGUAUGGAAUCCUCUCUGGGUUUUGCCAUGCUUUAGAUUAUUUGUGUUGUACCAGAAGGCAAGUACAGAUAAUACUGCAUUGCAAUGCAUUAUGUAGAAUUCUUCAGUGAUAUUUCUUUCAGUUCUUGCCUCUAGGUUUCUCCCUUGAUUCCUGACUUGUAUUUGCUCAAUGAUGGAGAGUGCAAUUGUUGCCCUGCAUAAUAUGUUUCAGCACUGGAAGAUUGAGACAGGAAGAACAUCAGAAGUUCUUUACCAACCUAGGCUACAUAGGUUGUUCAGGAAACUCAAAAAAUAUUACAAGCCAUUUCUAUUGCCCCUGACUGUCACUCAGAGUGAAAUGAGACCUGAACAAGAGUGUCGCCAAUGGACAUGCUAAUGUGGACAUUGAACAGUCAAGAGAACUUUACACUACCCAAAGAACUUUAGGCAACUGAAGAACACUGAGAGGAAGAGAAUUUCUCUUCCCCAGGGAAGAGGACACCAAUUGUUUACCACAAAGCAAAUGCUCAGCCCUAAAAACAUAAAUAUAGGAAAUACAUUAAAUAAA